rnacentral:rRNA from 1 species
GACGAACGCUGGCGGCGUGCUUAACACAUGCCAGUCGAACGGAAAGGCCCUGCUUUUGUGGGGUGCUCGAGUGGCGAACGGGUGAGUAACACGUGAGUAACCUGCCCUUGACUUUGGGAUAACUUCAGGAAACUGGGGCUAAUACCGGAUAGGAGCUCCUGCUGCAUGGUGGGGGUUGGAAAGUUUCGGCGGUUGGGGAUGGACUCGCGGCUUAUCAGCUUGUUGGUGGGGUAGUGGCUUACCAAGGCUUUGACGGGUAGCCGGCCUGAGAGGGUGACCGGCCACAUUGGGACUGAGAUACGGCCCAGACUCCUACGGGAGGCAGCAGUGGGGAAUAUUGCACAAUGGGCGGAAGCCUGAUGCAGCAACGCCGCGUGCGGGAAGACGGCCUUCGGGGUGGAAACCGCUUUCGCCUGUGACGAAGCGUGAGGGACGGUAAUGGGUAAAGAAGCACCGGCUAACUACGU